rnacentral:misc_RNA from 1 species
UAAUUAAUUUGAUGUUGGAUGUUGUCUUAAUUUUCUUAUUUUUAUCUUAACGACUUCUUUAUUAAUUUUGAAUAUGCUGUAUUAUUCUCUAGUUUUAGCCUUAGUGUAAAUAACUUGUAUUAACAAUUUUGGACCUAGUGGUUUGUGUCUAAACAUUAUUUGGGACAGCCACAAGCGAACUAAAAUAUCAGUGUUCGGAACAUAGCAAAUGUAAGAGGCUGAGAUUGUAAUAUCCUGUCCCAUAACGGCAGGAAAUGGAUUUGUCAAAGGGUUUAUAUGCUGUAAGUCCCAACUAGUCAAAUAACUUGUGUCAACCAUUUUGGACUAAGUGGUUUGAGGCUAAAAGUUAUUUGGGUUAGUUGGGUCUGUGGUAUUAUGUUUGGACAUAUUAACUAUUGAGUAUUUUUGAAUUGAGAUUUAUUGGGAAGAGUGGUUGCUGCUCCCAUUGUCAACUAUUUUUCUUGAGUUAUUAUUAACAUGAAAAGAAACAAGAUCCAAUGAAUGUGUGAAAUCCAAAAUGAAUAGGUAACUGUAUCUGCUGUGGCUUUUUAAUAUCCAAAAACAUGUAAAUGAAGGAUUUAUUGG